UUCCUCUUAGCUCAGUGGUAGAGCUUGUUACUCGUAUGAUCGCUCUUCGCACUCAAUGACAGGGUCAGUCGUUCAAUCCGACUAGCGGGAA